rnacentral:rRNA from 1 species
GAUGAACGCUGGCGGCGUGCCUAACACAUGCAAGUCGAGCGAUUCUCUUCGGAGAAGAUCGGCGGACGGGUGAGUAACGCGUGGGUAACCUGCCCUGUACACACGGAUAACAUACCGAAAGGUAUGCUAAUACGAGAUAAUAUGCUUUUAUCGCAUGGUAGAAGUAUCAAAGUUUUUGCGGUACAGGAUGGAAGCGCGUCUGAUUAGCUAGUUGUCAAGGUAACGGCUUACCGAUGGGACGAUCAGUAGCAGAGCUGAGAGGGUGAGCGGCCACAUUGGAACUGAGACACGGUCCAAACUCCUACGGGAGGCAGCAGUGGGUAAUAUUGCACAAUGGGCGAAAGCAUGAUGCAGCAACGCCGCGUGAGCGGUGAAGGCCUUCGGGUCGUCAAGCUCUGUCCUCAAGGAAGAUAAUGACGGUACUUGAGGAGGAAGCCCCGGCUAACUACGUGCCAGCCGCCGCAGUAA